CACGAUCUUAAAAGUGAAUUCUCCUUUCAUAAUUGUUGUGAAAAAUGAAAUUGUUUCGAUAAUUGUGAAAAAAGUGAUAUUGUUUUGUCAUUAGGUGGUAUUAACAAAAUUCGCAAUAAUUAAUUAUUUGUUAACCCAAUAUUUCCCAUAGACGCGUAAACACCCUAUCGAUAAUGUCAAAUAAAAAAAGACAGAAGCAAUGAACAUCGUGUUGUUCGAUAAUAAUUAUCUAGAUUUUCUAUUAAACGAAUUUCAAGCGUUUCACGAUCGAUAUUAGGACAAAGUAGCUCGUCCAACUUGGACGCUGAUAAGAUUCGAGGAACGCCAGGCACGCUAGAAAGCGAGUGUGUCGCGAUCGUGACGAUGACGCUGGAGAAUCACCAGGUUAGAACUUCGAAACCGGAUCAUUAUCUUCCACUGAUGGCAUGCUCACUUUCUCAUGCAUCCUCGAAUGGGAUUAAUUAACAUCUCAGAUAAACAUCUGAAAGAGAAACCGAGUUCGACACUUCUUUCAAACUCCUAUUGCCAAAUUCAGAAUCUGUGAAAUAUUCAACUUCCAGCAACUUGGAUCAAUUCAUCUUGAAUCAAUUCAGCAUUCUUCAACAAAACAGAUUGCCAUUCUUUGAAACCUACACGAAUACAACAAUAUGAUUCAUGUGAUAUUCGAUGCAGACAAACAGAGGUUAACAACACAUUUCUGAAAAACAUCGGAUUUGGCAUACGACAAACUCGCGCCAAUGUCAGGUCUUUGUAAGCAUCAACGCAUAUCACGUCAGCCUGCGAUCCAAAAAAGGAAUCAAAAACAAACAAUGAGAAGACGGCUGUGAUUCGAUUCAUAUAGCAGCGUGUAUCAUUGGCAUAUACAGUUGGACCGAGUUCAGGUAUCUUCGCGUUAUCUCGGAUGCGGGUCUAGGCUGGGUAUAUCGGUGGAACGCGUCCCGGUAUCGGCGAUCCCGUUGCCGACUGCGUUGGCUAGUUAGAAGAAAGGGAUCCGUGAAAAGGAAGAACGGACUGAAUGACACGGUCACCGAAAAUGACAGGUACACGACUUGGAAGAGCCGUGGACGUGGGACCGAUAUCGCAACCGCAUCUGACACAAACCUUGGUCAGCCAACUCCGUCUCGUCUUCUUUCUCCGUCCUUUUCUUCCUCCUCUCGUUCUCUCUCGUGUCUGCCUGCCAAUAUGCCUACCUGUCAACACACGCUGCAUUCAAUUAACUCGGGGACCAGUUUCACGCCUGUGUAAUGACGCGGAAAUCAAACUUUACCCACCCCCGUGCCCCUCGCCGACCCUCAAGACGGACGCGAUCCUGUAGGACGCCAGGGAACGUCGACCUCGUUCUUGUGAGCAGCUUUCGUUCUGACAGCCACGGGAACAUCCUUGAAUCGGGCCUCGUGCGUAUCUAGCAGCUGAAAAGAAGAGGAUUUGAGGAAAAGAGAGUUGGAAAAUUAUUUGGAGAACAGAGAGGAUUUAGUCGGAGGAAAACUCAAUUUACAUUAUGAAAUUUGUAGCAAAAGAAGUUUAGGAUUAUUUGAAGAAGGAAAGAGGAUUAUUUGGAAAGAAAUCUAAUCACCACAAGUGAUAAGUAUAUUGCAAAUAUUCAUGCAAAACUUCCUAUUUUUGUGAAUUCAGUAAAACAUGGCACUUACAAGGAAAUUGUUUUAUCCACUAGAUAUUACACCUACGUCACGAGUUUUGUACUGUGGAUAUUCUACACUUGUUUGUAUACUACGUACAUUCUGUACAUUUUUGCACCUUCAAAUUUGCCUUAAAUGAAGAACAAUCGGUAAUCUAGUGAUGAAUCUGUAAACUAAGGUCAUUGAAAGAAUGGGACAGUGACAAGGCUGAAAUAGAAAAGUAAACAACUCGAGGAAGUCUAAUCCUGCAAUCCAUGCGGCAACCGCGAGCAACACGAAAUCAGCAGAUCAGCGACGAUUACAAGAGGA